CGUGGUUAAGGAACUCGGCAAAUUGCCCCCGUAACUUCGGGAGAAGGGGGACCUCUGCUGGUGAUGGGCUUUACGUUCUGAGCUGGUGGGGGUCGCAGUGGCCAGGGGGAAGCGACUGUUUACUAAAAACACAGGUCCGUGCGAAGUCGUAAGACGAUGUAUACGGACUGACGCCUGCCCGGUGCCGGAACGUUAAGGGGACCGCUCAGCCAGCUUCGGUUGGCGAAGGUGAGAACUUAAGCGCCGGUAAACGGCGGUGGUAACUAUAACCAUCCUAAGGUAGCGAAAUUCCUUGUCGGGUAAGUUCCGACCUGCACGAAUGGCGUAACGACUUCCCCGCUGUCUCAACCACAGACCCGGCGAAAUUGCACUACGAAUAAAGAUGCUCGUUUCGCGCAGCAGGACGGAAAGACCCCGGGACCUUCACUACAGCUUGACAUUGGCGUUUGGAACGUCUUGUGUAGGAUAGGUGGGAGACUAGGAAGCUGUCACGCUAGUGAUGGUGGAGUCAUUGGUGAAAUACCACUCUGGUCGUUUUGAACGUCUAACUCUGGUCCGUGAUCCGGAUCGGGGACAGUGUCUGGUGGGUAGUUUAACUGGGGCGGUUGCCUCCUAAAGAGUAACGGAGGCGCCCAAAGGUUCCCUCAGCCUGGUUGGCAAUCAGGUGUUGAGUGUAAGUGCACAAGGGAGCUUGACUGUGAGACUGACAGGUCGAGCAGGAGCGAAAGCUGGGACUAGUGAUCAGGCAUCGGCGUGUGGAAGCGGUGUCGCUCAACGGCUAAAAGGUACCCCGGGGAUAACAGGCUGAUCUUCCCCAAGAGUCCAUAUCGACGGGAUGGUUUGGCACCUCGAUGUCGGCUCGUCGCAUCCUGGGGCUGGAGUAGGUCCCAAGGGUUGGGCUGUUCGCCCAUUAAAGCGGUACGCGAGCUGGGUUUAGAACGUCGCGAGACAGUUCGGUCCCUAUCCGCUGCGCGCGCAGGAGACUUGAAGGGGGCUGCCCCUAGUACGAGAGGACCGGGACGGACGAACCUCUGGUGUGCCAGUUGUACCGCCAGGUGCACGGCUGGUUGGCUACGUUCGGAAGGGAUAACCGCUGAAAGCAUCUAAGCGGGAAGCUCGCCUUGAGAUGAGGUCUCCCACCCCGUGAGGGGGUAAGGCUCCCGGUAGAUCACCGGGUUGAUAGGCCGGGGGUGGAAGCACGGUAACGUGUGGAGCUGACCGGUACUAAUAGGCCGAGGACUUGAUC
rnacentral:rRNA from 1 species